CCUAUGGCUAUGAGACGUGGGAAUGGAAGGAAGGCAUCCGGGGAUAUUCCUAUCCUCUCCUCUUCGCUCUGAUGUACAAACUCCUGCAUCUGAUGAAUUAUGACACAGUUUAUUUAUUGGUAAGACUUCAGUGCAUUAUAUAGGCCAGACAGCAGGUCUGAUUGUUCUCUAACAUGAAUACCGGUUCCUGCAGGUGUUUGUGCCGCGUAUUUUCCAGGCGCUGCUGGCUGCGUAUGCAGACGUGAUGCUGUACAACCUCGUCCUGCGGUGGGAAAACUCCAGAUGUGGCCAAAUGGACAUAUUUCUGUCAGCUGUGUUCAUGGUUCACCUGGUUCUGCUGCAGCCGGACUCUGACCAACACUAUGGAAACGGUUCUGACCACCCUGGCGCUUUGCUUUUACUCCAACACGCACAACAGGUGGGUCAUUCUUUGUCAACUCAACCAAAUUUUAGAUUUUGCUAAUAUUUUUUCUGAAGAAAGAUAAACAUGUAUAGUGAUGAAAGCCAAAAUAUUAAAUGUCAUGGAUAAAUAUUUACGGAGUAAUCCGGUAUUUUGUAGAGAGGGGUCAAAUUGGCAAUUUUCACCUGAAAUUCAGAGUCAAAUUACAAGUGGUUAAUAAUGACUUCAGAAAGAUGGCAGCAUCAUAAUGUUAUUUUUACACAGAGAUUCUGUUAGUAAAAUCUGUUCACUCUAGCAAUCUGUGUUGCAUUAUGUGCUAAAGGUGACCAAAAAAUAAAUAAAUCGAAAUAUUGAGAAAAUUGCUUUUAAAGUUGUCCAAAUGAAGUUCUUAGCAAUGCAUUUUACUAAUCAAAAAUUAAGUUUUGAUGUAUUUAUGAUAGGAAAUUACAAAAUAUCAUCAUGGAACAUGAUCUUUACUUAAUAUCCUAAUGAUUUUUGGCAUAAAAGAAAAAUGGAUAAUUUUGACCCAUACAAUGUAUUUUUGGUUAUUGCUACAAAUAUACCCCAGCGACUUAAGACUGCUUUUGUGCUCAAUAUGCAACAAUAUGCAAUGUGGUCCAAUGAUGGAAUUAUGAUAGCUUGUAAUUCAAUGAGAUCUUUAUUACAGUAGAGCAGAUACUUAAAUAAAUGUACAAACCCGAUUCCAAAAAAGU
rnacentral:lncRNA from 1 species